AGAUGUGAGGGCAGUCUGGCCGUGAUAAAUGUCAGCCCACUUGUAGCAGGGUUGAUGCGUCUGAUCUGUCUGGCAGCCUGGGCGCCCCCUCCUCCCUCACUGCUCUUUGUUGAAGAGGACGAUCUUCCCAGAAUAGAGGAGGACUCGUCUUCAGUCAAGGGCACAUAAGUAGCUGUGCUCCCCUGCUAGAGCCUCCUGACAAGCUCUCAGGAAGAGAAGUAUAUCGGGUUAAAAUACUCUAGACGACCUUGGGAAGCCAAGACUUUAGCUGUUGGUUGGUCUUUAGGUUCAGCUAGAAGCCGCAGAGGCAGUAUGGACCAGACU
rnacentral:snRNA from 1 species